rnacentral:rRNA from 1 species
GUUCGGAUUGAGGUCUGCAACUCGACCUCAUGAAGUCGGAAUCGCUAGUAAUCGCAUAUCAGAACGAUGCGGUGAAUACGUUCCCGGGCCUUGUACACACCGCCCGUCACACCACGAAAGUUUGUUGUACCCGAAGUCGGUGCCUUAACCUCGCAAGAGGAAGAGAGCCGCCCAAGGUAUGGCCGAUGAUUGGGGUGAAAGUCGUAACAAGGUAGCCGUAGGGGAACCUGCGGCCGA